rnacentral:lncRNA from 1 species
GGUUUGAGCAUUAGGCAUUGUUGAGAAGGGAGAUUUUUCUAAAUUUCUUUAGUUGUUUUUUUUUCAUAGCAAAAGCCAGUUUCCCUAGACUUUCUCUUAUUUAGUAAAAAAAGAAAUACUUAUCCCCAUCUAGGCUUAGCCUCAAAGCUGGAAUUGAGAAGGAGAAUAUGACACAGAGAAAGCCUGUCCCUUCUGGUGAGAUGUUUGAGGGGAUAAGAGGAGUCAGACAGAGUGAGAGACUGAGGAAGAAAAAGAAGCCCUUUGGACAUGUAGGUCCUGGAUAUUCUGUCUCAUGAAGAUGAGGAACAGCAUUAGAGGACGCUGUGCAGAUCUGAGUGGUAGUAGCCGGGGAUUCAGGUCUUCUUCUAUCUCUCCAUUGAUGGCUCUGGAGUCUGUAAUGCUCCUCUGGUUGUCUUCACUGAUGGAUGGAUCUUCACACCAAGAUUUGGGCGAUUUAUACAAUGUGAUGGGAACACAGUAUAAUCUUUAUAGUGCUUCUCUUCUAAGAGCUUCUAAAGAACCCCACUUCCUGCUGCACAGCAGCUGGCCAUUUUGAUGAAGACUUCAUCCUGUGAUGCUACUACCUGGAUCAUCUAAGGCAAUGAUCCCAAGCACAUACCCUGGUAAAUGUCCU